rnacentral:rRNA from 1 species
UACGAAGGGGCUAGCGUUGCUCGAAUCAUCUGGGCGGUAAAGGGCGCGUGAGGCGGCGUUUAAGUCGGGGUGAAAGCCGUGUCGGCUCACACAGAAUGGCCUUCGAUACUGGGACGCUUGAGUAUGGUAGAGGUUGGUGGAACUGCGAGUGUAGAGGUGAAAUUCGUAGAUAUCGGGAGGAACACCAGUGGCGAAGGCGGCGACCUGGACGGACACUGACGCUGAGACGCGAAAGCGUGGG